AUAAAGUUUUAUUUUAGCUUACAAAUUAAUUUUUAAAAUUGUAUAUAUAUAUUUGCUUAGAUAUUUAAUUUGUAGUAUAUAAUUUUAAUCAAUAAAGGAUACUUUGAAUUAGAAAUUUUAAAUAACAUAGGUAAAGCUUGUGCCAGCAACCGCGGUUAAACAAUAUGAUGUGAAUUAAUUUUUUCUUUUUAGUUAGGUUAGUAUACUAAAUUUUAAUAUUAGGUUUCUGAGGUGAAAUUAUUAAACUUGAUUUUAAAUUGAAAGUUGUUUUUGAGGCUGUAAAAUUUAAGAUGUAGACUAGGAUUAGAUACCCUAUUAUUUUAAAUGUAAAUUGGUUAAUAUAAAUUAGUAAAAGUUAGGGUCUCGAAAAUUAAAAGAUUUGGCGGUGUUUUAAUCUGUUCAGAGGAACCUGUCUUUUAAACGAUAGUCCACGAUUGAUUUGACUUUACCUUUAAGUUUAUAUAUCGUCGUAUAAAGAAUAUUUUUAAAAAAUUUUAAUGUUCUUGAUGUUUCAUAUAAAUAUAGUUCAGAUCAAGGUGUAGUUUAUGGUAAAGAGUAGAUGGGUUACAUUAUAAUUAUUGAUGGUAUUUAGUUUUAAAAAUUAAAUUAAAUUGGAUUUGAAAGUAAUUAUUUAAUAUUUAUGUAUAAUGAUUAUAGCUCUAGAAUAUGCACAUAUUGCCCGUCGCUUUCAUUAAGGUGAAAUAAGUCGUAACAAAGUAGACUUAUUGGAAAAUGAGUCUAGAAACCA
rnacentral:ncRNA from 1 species